AGUGAACGCUGGCGGUAGGCCUAACACAUGCAAGUCGAACGGCAGCACAGUAAGAGCUUGCUCUUACGGGUGGCGAGUGGCGGACGGGUGAGGAAUACAUCGGAAUCUACUUUUUCGUGGGGAUAACGCAGGGAAACUUACGCUAAUACCGCAUACGACCUACGGGUGAAAGCAGGGGAUCUUCGGACCUUGCGCGAUUGAAUGAGCCGAUGUCGGAUUAGCUAGUUGGCGGGGUAAAGGCCCACCAAGGCGACGAUCCGUAGCUGGUCUGAGAGGAUGAUCAGCCACACUGGAACUGAGACACGGUCCAGACUCCUACGGGAGGCAGCAGUGGGGAAUAUUGGACAAUGGGCGCAAGCCUGAUCCAGCCAUACCGCGUGGGUGAAGAAGGCCUUCGGGUUGUAAAGCCCUUUUGUUGGGAAAGAAAAGCAGCAGGUUAAUACCCCGCUGUUCUGACGGUACCCAAAGAAUAAGCACCGGCUAACUUCGUG
rnacentral:rRNA from 1 species